GCCCAUCUGUCGACUUCUUUGCAGGUGUGAUGAGAACAACAGCUACCUUCAAGGUGACUUUGGAGUGAAGCACAGUUGACAAGCAAAGAAAAUACUUCCCUAGUGAGGAUGAUGAGAACUAAAGAACAAUGCUGAAUUCAACUGUGGGUUUUAAGAAGCUGAUGAUUGCUUGCUCCUACCCCAGUCUUCCCAGACCACAGGACCAGGAGAAGGUAAACAGCGAUGGUCUUUCAUCUUUGGACUGCUCACCUAGGCUCAGUGCCCUGCUGCUUGUGUCCAGGAAAGAGAGGCAUUGAACUUGGGACCUUGCGCUUGCCAGGUAGGAGCAGUGCCACCAGGCUACAUCCCCAGCCCUUGCUCUGUGGAGAUAGUAAGGCAAAGGGGAGUAAGUCCCU